rnacentral:misc_RNA from 1 species
GAAAUGCGAUAAGUAAUGUGAAUUGCAGAAUUCCGUGAAUCAUCGAAUCUUUGAACGCACAUUGCGCCCUCUGGCAUUCCGGGGGGCAUGCCUGUCCGAGCGUCAUUACGCACCCUCAAGCCCGGCUUGUGUGAUGGGCCCCGGCGUCUCGUUCGCGAGACGGGCCCGAAAGGCAGCGGCGGCGUCGACCCGAUGAGCCCGAGCGUAUGGGGACUUCUGUCACACGUUCGCGGUGCGGACCGGCGCCUGCUUUGACUUUUCUGAUUAUCCAUGUUGACCUCGGAUCAGGUAGGGAUACCCGCUGAACUUAAGC